GACGCCAGGGAUGAUGUGGGAGGAGCUCAGAGCGCAGGAAUGUUGGGGAUUUUGGUCCGAACUGGUAAAUACCGACCAGGAGACGAGAAUAAAGUCAACCCUGCACCUCACCUCACGUGUGACACGUUCCCAGACGCUGUUGAUCAUAUCCUUCACAACUUACUCUAAUAGGGUUUUUCAACCUUUUUUUUGAGACAAGGCACAUUUUUUGCCUUGAAAAAACGCGGAGGCACACCACCGGCAGAAAACAUUCAAAUACCAAACUCAGUUGACAGUAAAAAGUCGUUGUUGGGUAUGACUUUAAAGCAGGGGUGUCAAACGUACGGCCCGUGGGCCGGAUCAGGCCCGCGGACAGGUUUUAUCCGGCCCGCGGGAUGAGUUUGCUAAGUAUAAAAAUGAACCAAAAUUUUUGAAUGAAAGAAACUGCUGUUCUAAAUGUGUCCACUAGAUGUCACAAUAGCAAUUAUUUGCAUCUUUGUAGAUUAUGCUACAUACGUAAAAAAAUAAAAUAAACCACAUGAUGUUAGUGCACCAGUUAAGGAAAAUGAGCAAACUUACAUGAAUGACAUCCUGUAAUUUGAUUUUGAUAUAAUUUUUUUAUCGUAAUAGAUUGAAAAUUAACACCAAUGAGUUGACUGAUGAACAUUAUCACAUAAUGUAUUCAGAAAAUAUAAAUAACGACAAAUAUAGAAUACUAUUAACCGCAACAUGUAAGUGUAAAAAAAAAACAACAACAUUAUGAUUUGUACAUUUUCAGAAUUUUCUUGUUCUAUUUUUAAACAAAGAAAACAAUCUGAAUUUGUCUUUAUUUUUAAGUUAUCAUGCUGUGAUUUUACCUGUCCGGCCCACCUGGGAGUAGAUUUUUCUCCAUGUGGCCCCCCAUCUAAAAUGAGUUUGACACCCCUGCUUUAAAGCAUGCAUCACUAUAGCUCUUGUCUCAAAGUAGGUGUACUGUCACCACCUGUCACAUCACACCCUGACUUAUUUGGACUUUUUUGCUGUUGUCCCGUGUGUAGUGUUUUACUUCUUGUCUUGCGCUCCUAUUUUGGUGGCUUUUUCUCUUAUUUUGGUAUUUUCCUGUUGCAGUUUCAUGUCUUCCUUUGAGCGAUAUUUCCCACAUCUACUUUGUUUUAGCAGUCAAGAAUAUUUCAGUUGUUUUUAUUAGGGAUGUCCGAUAAAUGCUUUAAAAUGUAAUAUCGGAAAUGAUCUGUAUCGGUUUCAAAAUUAUCAGUAUCGGUUUCAAAAAGUAAAAUGUAUGUUUUUUUAAAAUGCCGCUGUGUACACGGCCGUAGGGAGAAGAACAGAGCGCCAAUAAACCUUAAAGGCAC